rnacentral:rRNA from 1 species
AACUUUCAACAACGGAUCUCUUGGCUCUCGAAUCGAUGAAGAACGCAGCGAAAUGCGAUAAGUAAUGUGAAUUGCAGAAUUCAGUGAAUCAUCGAAUCUUUGAACGCACCUUGCGCCCUUUGGCAUUCCGAAGGGCACGCCUGUUUGAGUGUCGUG